UACGUAGGGUGCGAGCGUUAAUCGGAAUUACUGGGCGUAAAGCGUGCGCAGGCGGUUAUGCAAGACAGAUGUGAAAUCCCCGGGCUCAACCUGGGAACUGCAUUUGUGACUGCAUGACUAGAGUACGGCAGAGGGGGAUGGAAUUCCGCGUGUAGCAGUGAAAUGCGUAGAUAUGCGGAGGAACACCGAUGGCGAAGGCAAUCCCCUGGGCCUGUACUGACGCUGAGGCGCGAAAGCCAGGGGAGCAAACGGG
rnacentral:rRNA from 1 species